rnacentral:rRNA from 2 species
UGGGUCACCUCCCAUCCGUGUCUAUCUGUACCCUGUUGCUUCGGCGUGGCCACGGCCCGCCGGAGACUAACAUUUGAACGCUGUCUGAAGUUUGCAGUCUGAGUUUUUAGUUAAACAAUCGUUAAAACUUUCAACAACGGAUCUCUUGGUUCCGGCAUCGAUGAAGAACGCAGCGAAAUGCGAUAAUUAAUGUGAAUUGCAGAAUUCAGUGAAUCAUCGAGUCUUUGAACGCACAUUGCGCCCCCUGGUAUUCCGGGGGGCAUGCCUGUCCGAGCGUCAUUGCUGCCCUCAAGCACGGCUUGUGUGUUGGGCUUCCGUCCCUGGCAACGGGGACGGGCCCAAAAGGCAGUGGCGGCACCAUGUCUGGUCCUCGAGCGUAUGGGGCUUUGUCACCCGCUCCCGUAGGUCCAGCUGGCAGCUAGCCUCGCAACCAAUCUUUUUAACCAGGUUGACCUCGGAUCAGGUAGGGAUACCCGCUGAACUUAAGCAUAUCAAUAAGCGGAGGAAA